rnacentral:rRNA from 1 species
GCAAAUCGAACGCGAAAGAUUCCUUCGGGAAUCGAGUAGAGUGGCGGACGGGUGAGUAACGCGUAGGAAUCUACCCAUGUAGUGGGGGACAACUCGGGGAAACCCGAGCUAAUACCGCAUACGCCCUACGGGGGAAAGGGGGCCUCUUCUUGAAAGCUCCCGCUAUUGGAUGAGCCUGCGUCGGAUUAGCUAGUUGGUGGGGUAAAGGCCUACCAAGGCGACGAUCCGUAGCUGGUCUGAGAGGACGAUC